AAUGUCACUGUGACUGUGUUGAUUCAAGACGGAGAAAAACGAGAAAAGAAAUGAUGAUGAGAUUCUUCCCCCUGGGGGUGAGGGCAGUAAUUAAUUCUGCUGCCACAGAGAGGGAAUAUUAAUCAGCUAAUUAGCACCAGCAGAACAUAACUAUAAAUACCCGGAGCGAUGAGUCAGUGGUGGUGUUUGAACUGUGUUUGACGUCAAGGUGUAGACGGAAAACUGAGAACUGAAACUUCCUAAUGAAACUGAGGUUUGUUCUCUUUGUGCUGUGACGCCUUCAUCUUCAUCAUCACUGUUAUCUGUUAUUACUGCUACUACAUUUCUUACAGUUUUACUGGAGCCGGCAGACUGGUGGUCUCAUGGCUCCAGGGUCAGAGCACUGACUGGGCCUGAAACCAGAGGAUCGAAGGUUUGAAUCCCACUGUGGCUGCUGCUCCCCAGGAAUGAUUCAAAGGCAGAGGUCGCAGCUUCUCUGGAUCAUCUUUAAAAACCUAACACCAUCUUCCACUGAAAGAGUCCUGAAAAUGAUCCAAGAAAUGAGAGUAAAUGUUGGAGAAGUGAAGCUCUGAGGUCUUUGUCAUGGAGCUCCUCCUCCUCCUCCUCUGCUGCAGGUGAUCCUGUCGUUCAUCACACACUCCUCUGCUCUCUUCUCAUUCUCUCCCUGGUGCUUCGGUGUUUUGUACAUAUUAAAGCAGCUUCUACUCUGGAGCCUCGGAGGAGUCGCCUGUAAACUCCUUAUUUUAUGAUUGUGUAAUAAACCACGGCGGUGUAGGAAUAACUGUAAAGUCCACGGCGUGUAAACAUGACUGCAUACAUUUAUUUUGGAAAUUUAACGUCAGUCGUUGUUAAAAGUUGUCCAUUAAAUGUUAGUGGAAAACUUCUGGCCUUGAAUAUUAAAUUCUACAGAGUUCUGUGAGCGUUUACAGCCAGAGUCAAACAGAUGUAACAUCCUCAUGGUCACGGCUGCAGUUUAAUGUCUGAAGAAGUGGUUGGAGUGAAGUCACUGAUCUGGAGUCAGAUCAGAAAAAAAACCCUGUUCCAUGGAUGAGUGACAGCUUUUACCAAAAUAACCCUCGUCAAGGUCAGGAGGUCAGCAGAGAUUGUAGAAUUGACUGUAACACACUUUACAUCUGCAAACGUCUCAUUUUGUAGAUGUUUUGUAGAUGAAUGUUGUUGUUUUUCCUGGAGCACAUUUUCCUGCAGGGAUGAAAGGAUGACAACUCAGCAAAUCUUUUACAUCAACUUGACAUUUCAUUUCUUUUCCUGGAAAGUUUUACUCUUAUUUUUUCUUUUCUAAAUCUUCUUUUCUGAUCACAGAUAAAGUGUGGCUGUAUCUUCUUCACAUGUUUGGAAAAGUCAGGGCUGCUUCUUAUCAGGAGAACGAUUUCUCUUCCGCUCCUGAGACUGGAGGGAAAUCAAACUCUGCUGCUGUGUUUUUUUUCUAACAUAUUCUCUGCACCAGUGAGGUCAGUAGAUGAUGAAGAUCUGCUCUCCUUUAAACACCUCUGAUUCGCUGCUCAGUUCCCCCACUGAUUCUGUUUUGAGACUACGUUCUACAACAAUAAAAGACACAAAUAACAAAACCAGAUUCCUUCAGGUGACGCUUUAAAUCAAUGUUUAUUUAUGUUGAUGAAAAUGUGUGUUUUUUUAGGACAGCGGUGAAGAUAGUCUGAGUUCUGGAUGAAGGUGUAGAUGCUCCCCCUUGUGGCUCCUUAGUGUAAACCCAGAGCUGUCAGCCAGUGAGUCUCAGAGUUUUCUACCACCUUAUAUUUUUUGUACCACUCUCAAAUGUUUGUGUCUUCCAGUGCCACCAGUUUGACCGACAUUGAAUUGAUGGCGUCAGAUGAACUUCACGCAUAUGUGUCUAAUUAUUCCCAUCUAUUCACAGCAACACACGGGAACAGGGGAUCCUGCAGUCAGCUGGUUCUGUCGUCUGCUUCCUGGUUGGUCAGUCAACAAAUAGCUUCCACUGUUCUAUGUCAAAUAAUUGUUAAGGUUGAGGCAGGACAUCAAGUUCACUGAGGAGGAAGUCCCUCUAUAAUGAUUUCAUUUUCUGCUGGCUUGGCCUCUCUGUUGUCCUACUGUCCUCACACCACAUUAACCAGACAAUCUUCUGGAUAAUUGAGCUGCUUUUUCCAUUCACUGCACUUUUCAGGAGAACAUUUUGCUGAUGGUGGGGAAUCAGCAGAGACUGGGAGAGAGACAGAGAGAGAGAGAGAGAGAGAGAUGUCUGCACUAAGAGAAACUGAACGUUUGGGUUUUUGGUUUAUUUCUUAGAGAUAAUUGAACUGUUUUUGCCUCUUGUUAGUUUUUACCUUACUGUAAAACUACUUCAAGGUGAUUCUCUAUUUCUCUAUUUACUAACGUGUGUGUGUGUGUGUGUGUUAUGCGUUAUUGCCUUUUUAUUCAGAUCUGUGAGGUUGGAUGAGGGAAGAUUUAAUACCUCAAAAAUGGUGUCUGCGAGCAACUGCAGCUGUUGUCAAACUGUUAAGUUUUGUUGUUCAUUUAAGUCGGCUGGUAAUCUAGAAUUACAUUCUAGACUGAACUGGAUUUUCGUAACUGAGAAACACGAUCUGAUCAUUUGUUUUCUUGCAGAGUGAAGAUGGGCCACUGCCCUGCUGCCAACCUUUCCAGUGUGACUUCAGAUGACGUUUCUGUUUGGCAGAUGUACAAUAACUGAAGACUAAACCAAAGGCAAGGCAGCUUUAAAGACAGUAGAUGGAUGUCACAGACAAUUAAUUUUUUUUAAUAUUGUUCGUAUUUUAUUAGGAAAUGCAAUAAUAAUAAAAACAAACAACUGCGGUAAUAGAUAGAUAGAUAAUAGAAAAUAAGAUAAAUCCUUUUAAACUUCUUCACCUAACCUUGUGAAUGACAGGACUAAUUUCCUGGGCAUAAUGCAAUGUCUGAUUUGGUCUCGGAUAAAUUUCCUUAGCUGAAAAUUUUUAAUGAAGAAGUUGAAAUGCUAUUUCCGGAAUUUUAAUGAAAUCCCACUCCCAUUUAUCCCAUUAAUGAGGCCAUUAAUGCUCAAAAAUGGCGAUGCUCCAGAGGAACUCAUUUUAUCUGGAGCUAUAAUUAAAAUGUGAUGCGUUACCUUUCAUUGCAUUAAAAUUUCUCAGCUUCUAAAUCUGCUUAAGGACUGCAUUGUGUUGUUUUUAUUUUUAAACUCAAGGUCAAUGGAUUAGUCUUUUAGUAAAUAGCAGAGCAGAAAUUAUUGAUCUGCAGCGAGGAGAUCAUUGUUACACGACACUAAGAGGAGAGAACAUCUCCCUGAGCUUCAGGACCAACCAGAGUCCAGCUCUGCUACAGGGAGCACCUGGGUCUGCUCAUCAACAAACAUGCUGAGAACAAGAACAGGAGGAGGAGUUUAUUAUGAAGCAUUGUACUAUUUUAUUAGUGUUCAACAAUAACCUUUGCUUUGUUUUUUUAAAUAUUUGACUUCAAUAAAGUACAUUUGGUUA